ACUGCCUUUUUCUGUCAACAGGACCCAAGGAUAUAAUUCCCCGAGUGACUUGAAACAUGCUCUUCACUUGCUCCUUUUUCUCUAUGUUAAUACAGUGCCACAGUAGCUGACACCUGCAGGGCUCCAUGGCUCAGAGGUCACCGUGAGCAGAGCAGCCUGCAG
rnacentral:lncRNA from 1 species